CACACUGCUCAGUUAUUUCAAUUGUUUGUCCCGUUUGCUCGCGCACUUGUUCCCAACAUCAGGUUUUGUUCGCUGCUCGACGGGGCAGCUGCAUUCUUUCUCGCUCCCACCCUGCCCCUGGAAUCCCCUGCACCUGUUCGUUCUCGAGGUGCGAGCGAGAGGCCAAGAGGCAGAGGUAGAGCGGCACUUGCCACGCUUGACUUGCAGCAGGUCUGCAGGCGACGCGGAAAUGCCACUAGGAGGCCCAACUACAGCCGCCGAUAGCCAACAGUUCCAGUCCCGAUAAGGAAGCGAUAGACUGAAGUAGACAGCUAGCUGGAAAGACAGAUAGCGACGGGGAGAGCGGAUUUAUUUAUUAUUCAAAUUCUGAAUGGAAUGACGAUGUGAUGGGAUCGUGCUCGUGUACGCGGCGACACUUUUUGCUGUCAAUAUGCUUCCUGCAAGUGAUAACGAUUAUCGAGCGCCAGGUAUUCGACUUCCUCGGCUACAUGUGGGCGCCCAUCCUAGUGAACUUUUUCCACAUUUUGUUCAUCAUAUUCGGGUUUUACGGCGCCUACCACUUUCGCGUUAAAUACAUCAUCACCUAUCUAAUAUGGAACUUCCUGUGGAUCGGGUGGAACACCUUCCUCAUUUGCUUCUACUUAAAUGUGGGGCAGUUGAACAGGGACAGUGACCUGCUCAACCUGGGCACUGGCAGCGUCUCCUGGUUCGAGGCGAACGGGUACGGCUGCAAGCCCACCUAUAACAUGGCCGCGGACGAUACGUUCCGUCCCCAGCGGCCGGAGCGCGUGGAAGGCUGCCUGCUGGACUACCCGCUUGUGGAGAUCACACACUCGGGGGUACAGUGCGCUCUGGCGCUGCUCGGCAUACUCGGUGCGAUUCUGAUUAGUUGCAUAUUUCUUGACGAGGACGACAGAUGUAAGUGGCGCUCUCUGAAUGCGAAUAAGAAACAUGCUCGUCUGUCAUAAACACCACUAACCGGGAACGGUCAUUGCUAACCCCUCUCAUCCCCAUAAGAUCUUUCACUUUCGGGUCUCUCUGUGCACUGUGGUGUAUGUUUUCUUUUCUCACAAAACCUGAAAUAUUCCAUUAUGUGCUGUCGAUAAGAAGGCUCUUGCCUCCCUACCCAAAAACCCGCAACCUGCAAUGCGACUGUACCCCCAGAAAAUUAUGGUUUCGAUUUAAACAUAAAUUGUAUCCUAUAUUAACCAUUAUGACUUGUCCAUUUGAAUUGUGAGCAUCUAUACACAUGCCUUUUAAAACAUUUUACUCACAUACCACAUAAUCGUAUUGUUAUUCAUGUUAUGUAUAUGUCAUUUACUCAUAAUCAAGAAAUCAGAAACAUUG
rnacentral:misc_RNA from 1 species